rnacentral:rRNA from 1 species
CGGGAAAAGCUCAAAUUUGAAAUCUGGCGGCUCCGCCGUCCGAGUUGUAUUCUGGAGAAGCGUUUUCUGUGCUGGACCGUGUACAAGUCCCUUGGAACAGGGCCGUCGUAGAGGGUGAGAAUCCCGUCUU